GGGGGCGUGGCGAAAUUGGUAGACGCACUGGAUUUAGGUUCCAGCGCCGCAAGGUGUAAGAGUUCGAGUCUCUUCGCCCCC
rnacentral:tRNA from 1 species